AGAGAGAGACAUGCGCGCAUAUCAAUAAGCGGAGGAAAAGAAACUAACAAGGAUUCCCUUAGUAACGGCGAGUGAAGCGGGAAGAGCUCAAAUUUGAAAUCUUCAAGGUUUUACCUUGACGAAUUGUAGUUUAAAGAAGUGUUUUCUGCUGAAGUUUUGGUAAAAGUUCUUUGGAAUAGGACAUCAUAGAGGGUGAGAAUCCCGUAUUUGACCAUUAUUUUCAGCUUUGUGAUACACUUUCAAAGAGUCGGAUUGUUUGGGAAUGCAGUCCAAAAUGGGUGGUAAAUUUCAUCUAAAGCUAAAUAUUGGCGAAGAGACCGGAUAGCGAACAAGUACCGUGAGGGAAAGAUGAAAGAGAACUUUGAAAAGAGAGUUAAACAGUACGUGAAAUUGUCAAAAGGGAAGCGUUUGACACCAGUGUUGUUUUCUCGAAAAUCAAUUAAAAUGGCUCGAUUUUGUAUUGUUGAGACCUUAAAAGCUCACUGUACAUUUUUCGUGUCUUUUUUAAUGCACUUUUCGUUUAACAAGUCAACAUCAGUUUCUUUUGUUGUAAAAGGGUCAUUGGAAGGUGGCUUUCUUUUCGGAGAAAGUGUUUAUAGCCUUUGGCCUCUGCAAUCGGAGAGACUGAGGUCUGCAGCGUAGACUCUUCGGGGUUAGAUACAUUUGUGCUAAGUUAUAGCUUUUUAUAGACAACUUGUUGACUAUAAUUAGUCUUGUAGCUUACUCGCUUAUGCUAUUUUACCUACGCUUAGGAUGUUGAAGUCAUCGUAUCGCGC
rnacentral:rRNA from 1 species